GGGUGCAAAGGCAGAGGACUCAGCCCAGAUCUCUGCUGUGUGUGCAAGCCCCUGGCUCGUGGAGGUGUGGGUGAAAGAAAGAACUUUUGCUUUGAAAGAACUUAUGGAUGUGUGCAACACAAAGAGUAACAGAGCUGAUGGGCUGGGGAGAUGAAAAUGCCCUGCAGAAGUGACCCUGAGACUGAAGCCUGUAAAAACCAGGACCUUUGGAUUGAAAUUGCUCAUCAGUAAUCAGCAUCUGAAGACAGUCAUCUGCCUUGCUAAUGGACCACAGUUACAUGUGUAAUUGAUUAAUUAAGGAAAGAAAAUCACUGCUGAGACUAAGGGAGACAUCCACAGCUUCAGCAGGCAUCGACGUGAAAUAGCAGCUCCUCCUGGGCAAAGCAGAUGAGAUUGUUUCAGGUAUUUUUGUCCAUUUUAAACCACUCUAUCUUCUCUAUACAGGUUGUUGUUUGGUGUCCCAGACUUUUCUGUGGGGGUAAGAAGCAGGGAAAGCAAGAAACGCUCCAGCCCUCCUUUUCCAGCUGGCAGGAGGAGCAGAGUGUGGUUGGGUUUGAGCGUGUGUGUGUUUAUCCCCGUGCAGUCGCUCGUUGGCUUUGUGUGCAUGAGCAAUCACGUACGUGGAAAAAGGCAAUGGAGGGAACUCAAACAAACAAGCUCUUUGGCAAGCUCUGGGUGAGCAUGGUGGCGUCUGCUACUCUUUGCAAGCUGUGUUGUCAUGAUUUCCCUCCUGUGGAGGUUGUGCCUCCUGUCUCACCACUCAUUUCACCAGUUUGGAGCUACACCGAUGCUUUGCAGCGAAGCUCUUUACAGGGUCCUGGCUGAGGAGAGGUUUCACACACAGGCAGAGCCAAAUAUAAGCAUCUCAGCAGAUAUUUUGAACAAGGGAAAUGGUGCAGAGUCACCUCUGCUGAGCUCAUGGUGAGUGUACUGCUAGGCAGAGGAGCUGUGCUCCACUGGAGCUCUUACAAGGCAUAAACUCCUCCAAGAGCAGGAAGAAGUGGGACCUGAGGGGUUCUGCCUUCAGACAGCAUAGCUGGUGCUGAGGUCUUGCUUCUUCCACUUAAUACCUGACCUGAGAGUUUUCUUGCACUUUGAAAGAACUUCUGUAUGUUUCUAGUGAGAUCAGUACUAGGGGCUGCAUCUAAGAGAAAAUAAAAAGGCUUUAAUACUUCCCAUCACUAAAUUUAUUGUUUUUCUGUGGCUCUCAUUGCCUUAGUUUGAUCUUCACAGAGCUCCAGGCAGAUCCGAAGGUCAGGCAGAUUUUAUAUUAAAAAGAGCCAAAGUGUUGACAUUUGACAAAAAGCCCUAAACCUAUUUUUAGAUAAGCAUCUUGAGCCUUCUAAUAGCUGAACCUUUGGCAGUUCAGCCAGGCAGCCCAACCAAAGCCAGUUUUUAAUAUGCAGAGACUGAGCUGUUUAGCUUGGUCUCUUCAUCUGCCCAUUAGACACCUCCCAUUAGGCAUUGCCACUCCAGUUGUGCACUGGUCAACAAACUCUUGGAGAACAGAUGGCCCAGACAGAUUUUGUGUAGAGCAGAGUCAGGCAGUUUCAGUGCCUUUAUGUUCUUGAGGAUAUGGAUGGUGUGGGUACAGCUUUGGACUCCUCACUCCCUGUUCUCUGGCAUAAAUAUUCUCAUAACCAGCCCACUGCACACCCUCCAGGGGGCUGUUUCUGCUGAUGUUGAUGUGCACAUGCACUGUUUGUGUUAGUGAUGAGUUAUCUCAGUUGGUCAUGAAAAGCCAGGAACAUAACUGAGGCAUUGAAUGGUUUCCACUCAAAUCAUUUUAUUAGAUGAUGAAUUUUCAAGUGUUGGAAAUUGUAGGUAGGCAGCUACAAGCAAACAUCCCUAAGUUACCUUCUGAUUUUGUCACAUGUGAAUUUAGUUUUUAGGCAGCUAAAAUGAAGUAUAUGGAAAUUGUCUGGCUUUUAUGGCAGCUGUGAAUGAUUGCUAACCUCAAAAUUUUAUAAGCAGCAUUUUUGUGCAUUUAUUUCUCAGAGUUUAUGUCACAUUUGGAAAACAAAUUGAACUUUCUCCUCUCAGCUUCCUGGAGCUUUUGCUUGUGAGUGGCAAAGAUCUGAAGCUGGGUAUGUUUCCUUAACUGCACCUUAAAGUAUUUGCCUCUAACUGCUAUAAACAGCUAUAAUGAGCAGCCUUUUGGAGGUCACUUAGGCCUGCAUUGCUAUCCAGUGCCAAAUAAUGAUUUGGCAAAGCACUACACAACUGGGCUGAAUUUUAAGUAUGGCAUUAACUGUGUUUAACUCUGCUUGGUGUCAGUGGGGCUUACAAUGAGUUUUAAAUGUUUCACUGAACAAGGAUGGAUUCAAGCAGGUGCUUAUUACAAACAGCAUCACAAAAGCACCUGACUGAUUCGGGACCUAAGAGAGAUGAAUGGAGAGAGCUGCAGAGCAGCUGGUGUCCCUGCCUUCCUAGCAGUGCAAUUUCCAUCCAGGGAGCAAGUAAAAAUGGAAGGGAAAGAGAAAAACUAUUUUAAAUUAAAGGGAGAAAAAUACAUGUUGGGUCACUGUGGGUAUGUUUAGAGUGAUGUGUUGACUCUGACAGAUUCCUGCAUAUGGAUGUGUCCUUUCUUUGUGAGGGGCACUCUGUCUGCUGGUUAGGAAUGAUGGCCAAAUGGAAGGAUCAUCAGAAUAAGUGAAAUCUUAUUCACAGUCCAUAAAAUAGCAGGAGAGAAGUUCCUGGUCUUCUCAUUUAUGUCAGCUUUGAGACCAAGCCAGAAAACCUGUUAUUAUGGAACAACUUUGUAUGCGUGUGCAUGUACAUUGUGUGUCUGUGUAUGCAAAACCUGUCAUUGCCAGACACAAUAAUGGCAUUUUACUGGACAGAAAUGGAACUUUACUUGUCUUUUUGGGUUUUGAUUAUGAGAGGAACUGAGAGACCUGCUGACCCCUCAGCUUCACUGACUUAUGAUUGAAGCUUAUUUUAUUGUAGAUUUUGUUUUCUUACACAUUCAGAUGACAACAUGGUUCAGAAGGGAGUGCAUAAGUGAUGUCCAGAAUUCCUCAGUUUUCUUAAGGAUUAUGUAGUUUGUCUGUUGUCUGAUCGCUCUCAAACAAUUUAACUUCCAUCAUGGAUUUCUACUUUAUUUCUAAAAUAGCUAUUUCUGUACUGACUUAAGAGGCCCAUAUAAUCACAGACUGGUUUGGGUUGGAGGGGACAUUCUCAGAUUAUCUAGUCCAAACCUUCUGCCAUGGACAGGGACAUCCAGCCUGACUUUGAACAAUUCCAAAGGUCUGGCAGCCACAGCUUCUCUGAGCAACCUGUUCCCAUGUUGCACAUAGGGCAAUUUUGUGGUUUUCCUGUGUCUCCAGGACUAUAACAGUAGCUCAGUAUUGAACUCUCACUUCCCCCUUAUCUAGAUGGAAAUCUAUUUUGCACACACACACCACUCAGUUCAUGUUUUCAUCUCUUGGGAAUAUUUAGUCUUCUUAUGAAACCCAACCCAACACAAAGAAAUCAAUUAAUUCCGACUGGUGAAGACAAUGAUACUGCAGAAGGAAAAUAGAUGAGCAGCGGAUGUUUAGUCUAAUGGAUGAUGAAAAGCUAAAGCGUUUUAAACACUGAUUUAUUACCACUGAGACCAACAGCGGGACUUAGAGAGAAGAAGAACUGCAGCUCCACGUUUUGCUGGCACCUCCAUUUUCCAGGUUGGAGCCAAAGUUCUGUCCCAGCUGGUUAACAGGGACAGUGCCUGUGAGGCACAGCAGGUACCCUGUGAGGCAGGGGGACUGUUUAAAGCCAGGGGCCAAUUCUACCCUGAUCCAAGGAGAAGAAAGGUGGCAAGAAUAUGCUCAUGACUACAGACUAAAUCCAGAGAAAACAGAAUGGAGGAUAAGUAAACGUUGACCUGAUAGCAGUGAACAGGAGAGGCAGGGACAUCUGCAGAGCAUCCUCUCAGUCCUGAUUUGCAGAGGGUAAUGAUGGCAAGCUCUCAGUUCCUCCUCAUGCAAUUCAGAUCUGCCACAAUAGAAGCAGUCUAAAGUAUCCUUGGAGCUGUUCCAGCUGUCAGAGACCAGCCUGGUAGCAUCUCACGUGUGUUUGAUCCAACGUGGAAUUGUCUGAGCUUGAGGAAAAAGGGAGGGUGAAUCCUAGGCUGGACUUGAGGGAAGAGUUCAGAUACAGCUGCUGCAACUUCCCUGGAAAACUGCACUUUUAGGAGCAUGUCUCCUUCCACCUCCUCUGCAGUGGUAAAUGCAGAGGCUUUCUGGCAUCACUCUGUCUCCUGUACAGGGUUAUAAAAGUGCACUUAAGCACUGAACCAUUUUACAGCCCUGACCACCCCAGCUACAAUGAAAUAGAUUAACAAUGCUCCUUGUGGAUCCCUUCCAAUGCAGGACAUUGUAUUAUUCUUGCAACCUUCAUUUCAUCUCCAAAAAGAACAGAGAACAGUCUGUUUUGUG